rnacentral:rRNA from 1 species
GACGAACGCUGGCGGCGUGCUUAACACAUGCAAGUCGAACGGAAAGGCCCUGCUUUUGUGGGGUGCUCGAGUGGCGAACGGGUGUGUAACACGUGAGUAACCUGCCCUUGACUUUGGGAUAACUUCAGGAAACUGGGGCUAAUACCGGAUAGGAGCUCCUGCUGCAUGGUGGGGGUUGGAAAGUUUCGGCGGUUGGGGAUGGACUCGCGGCUUAUCAGCUUGUUGGUGGGGUAGUGGCGUACCAAGGCUUUGACGGGUAGCCGGCCUGAGAGGGUGACCGGCGACAUUGGGACUGUGAGACGGCCCAGACUCCUACGGGAGGGAGCGGUGUGGAGUAUUGCACAAUGGGCGGAAGCCUGAUGCAGCGACGCCGCGUGCGGGAUGACGGCCUUCGGGUUGUAAACCGCUUUCGCCUGUGACGAAGCGUGAGUGACGGUAAUGGGUAAAGAAGCACCGGCUAACUACGUG